UGGGCAUCAAUGAAGAUUGAAUUCCUUGUUAUCCUUGCACAAUGAUUGUUAAGUGAUGAAAAUUAAGGGGGAAAGUUUGAAACCUGAGAUGCUC
rfam:Spinacia oleracea cultivar SynViroflay scaffold17721.con0007.1, whole genome shotgun sequence.